GGUGGGAUGCUGGAGUGGACUAACAGGCUGGUUUCGAAAACCAUGCGGGGCUUUAUGUCUCACGGGGGUUCGAAUCCCUCUCCCACCG
rnacentral:tRNA from 1 species